rnacentral:rRNA from 1 species
AUUGAACGCUGGCUGCAGGCCUAACACAUGCAAGUCGAAAGAGUGGCGGACGGGUGAGUAAUGUCUGGGAAACUGCCUGAUGGAGGGGGAUAACUACUGGAAACGGUAGCUAAUACCGCAUAACAUCAGUUGUGACCAGAUGGGAUUAGCUUGUUGGGGGGGUAACGGCUCACCAAGGCGACGCUCCCUAGCUGGUCUGUGCGGAUGACCAGCCACACUGGAACUGAGACACGUUCCGGACUCCUCCGCGAGGCAGCAGUGGGGAAUAUUGCACAAGGGGCGCAAGCCUGAUGCAGCCAUGCCGCGUGUAUGAAGAGGGCCUUCGGGUUGUAAAGGACUUUCAGCGGGGAGGCGUUACCCGCAGAAGAAGCACCGGCUAACUCCGUGCCAGCAGCCGCGGUAAUAC